GACGAACGCUGGCGGCGUGCUUAACACAUGCAAGUCGAACGGAAAGGCCCUGCUUUUGUGGGGUGCUCGAGUGGCGAACGGGUGCGUAACACGUGAGUAACCUGCCCUUGACUUUGGGAUAACUUCAGGAAACUGGGGCUAAUACCGGAUAGGAGCUCCUGCUGCAUGGUGGGGGUUGGAACGUUUCGGCGGUUGGGGAUGGACUCGCGGCUUAUCAGCUUGUUGGUGGGGUAGUGGCUUACCAAGGCUUUGACGGGUAGCCGGCCUGAGAGGGUGACCGGCCACAUGAGGACUGAGAGACGGCCCAGACGCCUACGGGAGGCAGCAGUGGGGAAUAUUGCACAAUGGGAGGAAGCCGGAGGCAGCAACGCCGCGGGCGGGAUGACGGCCUGCGGGGUGUAAACCGCUGUCGCCUGUGACGAAGCGUGAGUGACGGUAAUGGGUAAAGAAGCACCGGCUAACUACGUG
rnacentral:rRNA from 1 species